rnacentral:rRNA from 1 species
GAGUAACCUGCCCUUAACUCUGGGAUAAGCCUGGGAAACUGGGUCUAAUACCGGAUAGGAGCGCCUACCGCAUGGUGGGUGUUGGAAAGAUUUAUCGGUUUUGGAUGGACUCGCGGCCUAUCAGCUUGUUGGUGAGGUAAUGGCUCACCAAGGCGACGACGGGUAGCCGGCCUGAGAGGGUGACCGGCCACACUGGGACUGAGACACGGCCCAGACUCCUACGGGAGGCAGCAGUGGGGAAUAUUGCACAAUGGGCGCAAGCCUGAUGCAGCGACGCCGCGUGAGGGAUGACGGCCUUCGGGUUGUAAACCUCUUUCAGUAGGGAAGAAGCGAAAGUGACGGUACCUGCAGAAGAAGCACCGGCUAACUACGUGCCAGCAGCCGCGGUAAUACGUAGGGUGCGAGCGUUAUCCGGAAUUAUUGGGCGUAAAGAGCUCGUAGGCGGUUUGUCGCGUCUGUCGUGAAAGUCCGGGGCUUAACCCCGGAUCUGCGGUGGGUACGGGCAGACUAGAGUGCAGUAGGGGAGACUGGAAUUCCUGGUGUAGCGGUGGAAUGCGCAGAUAUCAGGAGGAACACCGAUGGCGAAGGCAGGUCUCUGGGCUGUAACUGACGCUGAGGAGCGAAAGCAUGGGGAGCGAACAGGAUUAGAUACCCUGGUAGUCCAUGCCGUAAACGUUGGGCACUAGGUGUGGGGACCAUUCCACGGUUUCCGCGCCGCAGCUAACGCAUUAAGUGCCCCGCCUGGGGAGUACGGCCGCAAGGCUAAAACUCAAAGGAAUUGACGGGGGCCCGCACAAGCGGCGGAGCAUGCGGAUUAAUUCGAUGCAACGCGAAGAACCUUACCAAGGCUUGACAUGUUCUCGAUCGCCGUAGAGAUACGGUUUCCCCUUUGGGGCGGGUUCACAGGUGGUGCAUGGUUGUCGUCAGCUCGUGUCGUGAGAUGUUGGGUUAAGUCCCGCAACGAGCGCAACCCUCGUUCCAUGUUGCCAGCACGUAAUGGUGGGGGACUCAUGGGGAGACUGCCCGGGGUCACUCGAGGGAAUGUGAGGACGACGUCAAAUCAUCAUGCCCCUUAUGUCUGGGGCCUCACGCAUGCUACAAUUGUCGUAACAUUGGUUUGCGAUUCUGGUGAAGUGGAGCUAAUCUCAAAAGCCGGAUCUCAGCUCGGAAUUGGGUCUGCCAUACUCGA